rnacentral:rRNA from 1 species
GCCGCAGAUAUUCCUGUGCUAAGGUAGCAUAAUAACUAGCUUUUUAAUUAAAAGAUAGCAUGAAAGGAUAAACGAUUUGAAAAUUUUUCCCUAAUAAAACAAUAAAAUUAACCUAAAAGUAAAAAGACUUUUAUUUACAAGAAAGACAACAAGACCCUAUAGAACUUUAACUUUAGCUUUAGCUGGGGCAGCAAAAAACACUAUCUUUUUCAUUCAUUCAAUAUAAUGACCUAAAACUUUUAAUUAAUAAAACAAGUUACCUUAGGGAUAACAGCGCUAUCUUACUUUACAGUUCUUAUAUAAAGUAAAUAUUACGACCUCGAUGUUGAAUUAAUUUAUCUUAAUUAAGUAAAAAUAAUAAAAGUGAGUCUGUUCGACUCUUAAAAAAUUACAUGAUUUGAGUUCAGACCGGCGUAAGCCAGGUCAGAUUAUAUCUUCUAUUAUAUAUUAACAGUACGAAAGGACCCUAAUAAUAAUA